rnacentral:rRNA from 1 species
AUUGAACGCUGGCGGCAGGCCUAACACAUGCAAGUCGAACGAUUGUCGGCCGGGUGAGUAAUUUCUGGGAAACUGCCCGAUGGAGGGGGAUAACUAAUGGAAACGGUAGCUAAUCCCGCAUACCAUCUGAUGUGCCCGGAUGGGAUUAUCUAGUAUGUGGGGUAACGGCUCACCUAGGCGACGCUCCCUAGCUGGUCUGAGAGGAUGACCAGCCACACUGGAACUGAGACACGGUCCAGACUCCUACGGGAGGAAGCAGUGGGGAAUAUUGCACAAUGGGCGCAAGCCUGAUGCAGCCAUGCCGCGUGUAUGAAGAAGGCCUUCGGGUUGUAAAGUACUUUCAGCGAGGAGGCGUUACUCGCAGAAGAAGCACCGGCUAACUCCGUGCCAGCAGCCGCGGUAAUUC